rnacentral:rRNA from 1 species
AACGAACGCUGGCGGCAGGCUUAACACAUGCAAGUCGAACGCCCCUUCGGGGGAGUGGCAGACGGGUGAGUAACGCGUGGGAAUCUACCCAGUUCUGCGGAACAACAGUUGGAAACGACUGCUAAUACCGCAUACGCCCUACGGGGGAAAGAUUUAUCGGAAUUGGAUGAGCCCGCGUAAGAUUAGCUAGUUGGUGGGGUAACGGCCUACCAAGGCUCCGAUCCGUAGCUGGUCUGAGAGGACGAUCAGCCACACUGGGACUGAGACACGGCCCAGACUCCUACGGGAGGCAGCAGUGGGGAAUCUUGCGCAAUGGGCGAAAGCCUGACGCAGCGACGCCGCGUGAGGGAAGAAGGCCUUCGGGUUGUAAACCUCUUUCAGGAGGGACGAAGCCACUCGGGUUAAUAGCCCAGAGGGUGACGGUACCUCCAGAAGAAGCCCCGGCUAACUA